rnacentral:rRNA from 1 species
CAGCCGCCGCGGUAAUACGAGGGGGGCAAGCGUUGUUCGGAAUUAUUGGGCGUAAAGGGCUCGCAGGCGGUUUCUUAAGUCUGAUGUGAAAGCCCCCGGCUCAACCGGGGAGGGUCAUUGGAAACUGGGAAACUUGAGUGCAGAAGAGGAGAGUGGAAUUCCACGUGUAGCGGUGAAAUGCGUAGAGAUGUGGAGGAACACCAGUGGCGAAGGCGACUCUCUGGUCUGUAACUGACGCUGAGGAGCGAAAGCGUGGGGAGCGAACAGGAUUAGAGACCCCGGUAGUCCCUGUCUCUUAUAC